UACAGAGGGGGCUAGCGUUGUUCGGAAUUACUGGGCGUAAAGGGCGCGUAGGUGGCCUGUUAAGUCGAACGUGAAAUCCCCGGGCUCAACCCGGGAACUGCGUCCGAGACUGGCAGGCUCGAAUCCGGGAGAGGGAUGUGGAAUUCCAGGUGUAGCGGUGAAAUGCGUAGAUAUCUGGAGGAACACCGGUGGCGAAGGCGGCAUCCUGGACCGGUAUUGACGCUGAGGCGCGAAAGCUAGGGGAGCGAACGGG
rnacentral:rRNA from 1 species